rnacentral:rRNA from 1 species
GAUGAACGCUGGCGGCGUGCCUAAUACAUGCAAGUCGAGCGAACAGAUAAGGAGCUUGCUCCUUUGACGUUAGCGGCGGACGGGUGAGUAACACGUGGGUAACCUACCUAUAAGACUGGAAUAACUCCGGGAAACCGGGGCUAAUGCCGGAUAACAUGUUGAACCGCAUGGUUCUACAGUGAAAGGCGGCUUUGCUGUCACUUAUAGAUGGACCCGCGCCGUAUUAGCUAGUUGGUGAGGUAACGGCUCACCAAGGCAACGAUACGUAGCCGACCUGAGAGGGGGAUCGGCCACACUGGAACUGAGACACGGUCCAGACUCCUACGGGAGGCAGCAGUAGGGAAUCUUCCGCAAUGGGCGAAAGCCUGACGGAGCAACGCCGCGUGAGUGAUGAAGGUCUUCGGAUCGUAAAACUCUGUUAUUAGGGAAGAACAAAUGCGUAAGUAACUGUGCGCGUCUUGACGGUACCUAAUCAGAAAGCCACGGCUAACUACGUG